GACGAACGCUGGCGGCGUGCUUAACACAUGCAAGUCGAACGGAAAGGCCUCUUUCGGGGGGUACUCGAGUGGCGAACGGGUGAGUAACACGUGAGUAACCUGCCCUUUACUUUGGGGUAACUUCAGGAAACUGGGGCUAAUACCGGAUAGGAGCUCCUGCUGCAUGGUGGGGGUUGGAAAGUUUCGGCGGUUGGGGAUGGACUCGCGGCUUAUCAGGUUGUUGGUGGGGUAGUGGCUUACCAAGGCUUUGACGGGUAGCCGGCCUGGGAGGGUGACCGGCCACAUUGGGACUGAGAUACGGCCCAGACUCCUACGGGAGGCAGCAGUGGGGAAUAUUGCACAAUGGGUGGAAGCCUGAUGCAGCAACGCCGUGUGCGGGAUGACGGCCUUCGGGUUGGAAACCGCUUUCGCUCAUGACGAAGCUUUGUGUGACGGUAGUGGGUAAAGAAGCACCGGCUAACUACGUG
rnacentral:rRNA from 1 species